rnacentral:rRNA from 1 species
CAGUAGCCACGGUAAUACGGAGGGAGCUAGCGUUGUUCGGAAUUACUGGGCGUAAAGCGCGCGUAGGCGGUUACUCAAGUCAGAGGUGAAAGCCCGGGGCUCAACCCCGGAACUGCCUUUGAAACUAGGUGACUAGAAUCUUGGAGAGGUCAGUGGAAUUCCGAGUGUAGAGGUGAAAUUCGUAGAUAUUCGGAAGAACACCAGUGGCUAAGGCGACUGACUGGACAAGUAUUGACGCUGAGGUGCGAAAGCGUGGGGAGCAAACAGGAUUAGAUACCCGAGUAGUCCCUGUCUCUUAUAC